AGAACGAACGCUGGCGGCAGGCCUCAAACAUGCAAGUCUAGGGGGUGUAGCAAUACAUCACCGGCGGACGGGUGCGUAACGCGUGGGAAUGUACCUAUUGGUUCGGAACAACUGAGGGAAACUUCAGCUAAUACCGGAUGAGCCCGAAAGGGGAAAGAUUUCUCGCCAAUAGAUCAGCCCGCGUCCGAUUAGCUAGUUGGUGGGGUUAAAGCCUACCAAGGCGACGAUCGGUAGCUGUUCUGAGAGGAAGAUCAGCCACACUGGGACUGAGACACGGCCCAGACUCCUACGGGAGGCAGCAGUUGGGAAUCUUGGACAAUGGGGGAAACCCUGAUCCAGCCAUGCCGCGUGAGUGAUGAAGGCCUUCGGGUUGUAAACUCUUUCGACGGGGACGAUAAUGACGGUACCCGUAGAAGAAGCUCCGGCUAACUUCGUGCCAGCAGCCGC
rnacentral:rRNA from 1 species